UACGAAGGGGGGCGAGCGUUGUUCGGAUUUACUGGGCGUAAAGGGCGCGUAGGCGGCCCGCUCAAGUCAGGCGUGAAAGCCCCGGGCUCAACCUGGGAGGUGCGCUUGGGACUGGGUGGCUGGAGUUCGGGAGAGGAGCGUGGAAUUCCCAGUGUAGAGGUGAAAUUCGUAGAUAUUGGGAAGAACACCGGUGGCGAAGGCGGCGCUCUGGACCGAGACUGACG
rnacentral:rRNA from 1 species